UAGGGAAUAUUGCUUAAUGGGCGAAAGCCUGAAGCAGCAACGCCGCGUGGACGAAGAAGGCCUUCGGGUUGUAAAGUUCUUUUAUAUGGGAUGAGGAAGGACAGUACCAUAUGAAUAAGUCUCGGCUAACUACGUGCCAGCAGCCGCGGUAAAACGUAGGAGACGAGCGUUAUCCGGAUUUACUGGGCGUAAAGAGCGUGUAGGAGGCAAUACAAGUUGGAUGUAAAAGCUCUCGGCUAAACUGAGAGAGGACGUUCAAGACUGUAGAGCUAGAGGAAGGCAGAGGUAGAUGGAACUCCGGGAGUAGUGGUGAAAUGCGUAGAUAUCCGGAAGAACACCAGAGGCGAAAGCGAUCUACUGGGCCUUAACAGACACUGAGACGCGAAAGCCAGGGUAGCAAACGGG
rnacentral:rRNA from 3 species